GCCAUUAUCGACAUUCUGAUAAAAGAUUUUCCUGUAUAAAAAUCCCACACUAGUAGUCCUCUCCGGGUGGCUGCAUAUUAUUUUUAGUGUUCAUAUACAAUGAGAAACAAUUCUCUUUCAAUUCUUGCUUUCUUUCUCAUUAUUCUUUCAAGUUUUCUGGUUGAAAUCCAUGGAAACAAGCAAUCAGAAGCACUUGGAAAACUCUACAAUGCAAAGUUCAGAGGCAAUUCUGGCAUAGAUGUUAGUCUUUUUAAUGGAGUUAAUCCUGUAAGUGAAUCAAGAAUUCAUCCUCAGGAUGGAUUGAAAGAACAAGACAGAAUUGUGAAGCUUCCUGGACAACCAAAUGCACAGUUUUCUCAAUAUGGUGGUUAUGUUACCGUCGAUAAAUCAGCCGGCAGGGCUUUCUACUACUACUUUGCUGAGGCUGAUCAUUAUUCUCAAUCUAAAGAGUCUUUGCCUCUUCUUCUCUGGCUCAAUGGAGGUCCUGGUUGUUCAUCUUUGGGGUAUGGUGCAUUUCAAGAAUUGGGACCAUUCAGAGUGUAUAGCGAUGGCAAAUCACUUUACAGAAACAGAUUCUCAUGGAAUUAUGCUGCAAAUGUUUUGUUUCUUGAGUCUCCUGCUGGGGUAGGGUUUUCGUAUUCGAAUACGACGUCGGAUUAUGGCAAGAAUGGAGACCAAAGAACAGCUGAGGAUAAUUAUGUUUUCCUGUUAAAUUGGCUGGAGAGAUUUCCUGAAUACAAGGGAAGAGAUUUCUACAUUGCUGGGGAGAGCUAUGCAGGACAUUAUGUGCCUCAACUUGCACAUACAAUUCUCUCCCAUAACAAAAUUGCUAAUAAGACCCUUAUCAACCUCAAAGGAAUUCUAAUUGGGAAUGCAGUGAUCAAUGAUGAAACUGAUACUCUUGGGAUGUAUGACUACAUGGGUUCCCAUGCCAUAAUUUCGUAUGAGGCUGCCCAAAAAAUCAGGGAAAAUUGUGAUUUCUCACCCAAUGCUACCGCUCAGUCUGAGGCAUGCAAUUCAGUUGGCGAUCAAGUAAACAAGGCACUUUCUUAUAUUAAUAUAUACGACAUCUAUGCCCCAUCCUGCUUCAGUACCAGCACCACUGCCAAACCCAAGAGAGCUUCUUUGGUAGAUUUUGAUCCAUGCUCGGAUUAUUAUGUUUAUGCUUAUCUCAAUCGACCUGAGGUUCAUGAAGCCAUGCAUGCCAAUGUAACAAAACUUGAUCAUGAUUGGGAACCUUGCAGUGAAGUCAUCACUAACUGGUCUGACAGCCCUUCAACAAUUAUUCCACUCCUUAAAGAGUUCAUGGCUAAUGGACUUCGUGUGUGGAUAUUUAGUGGUGAUACAGAUGGAAGGGUGCCAAUUACUUCAACUGAGUAUUCUAUUGCUAAAAUGAAUCUUGACAUCAAAACUGAAUGGCAUCCUUGGUACCUCAAAAGGGAGGUAAAUCAUUUUCAAUUUUACUAUUAUCCAUUCAAUUUUUUCUCAAAAAAUAUAUAGAAAAUGACUUUUGUUUUGGGAAUUUUUAGGUUGGAGGGUAUACACAGGUUUACAAGGGAGAUUUGACAUUAGCUACUGUGAGAGGGGCAGGGCAUCAAGUUCCAAGCUAUCAACCUCUGAGAGCACUUUCAUUGAUCAAGCACUUCCUGGAUGGCACAUCUCUUCCUGAUACUACAAGAUAUAGUUAAUUUAUCUCUAAUUUUAUUUGCUUAAUUAGUUAAUUUGCUUAGGAUUUAGAAAUUAAAUUUGGUUUUAUUAGUUGUCUAAUACUUUUUUUAUUCUGCAAUUAAUUUAUUCCUUUAAAUUAAAGGAAAGCAAAUCUGUUUAUUUAGAGCAAAGCUUUUGAAUUGUCUUUCUUUAAAAGAUUGAACCUCUUUCUGUCCCAAUUUUAGAAAGCUG
rnacentral:misc_RNA from 1 species